UACGAAGGGGGCUAGCGUUGCUCAGAAUUACUGGGCGUAAAGCGCACGUAGGCGGCUUUCUAAGUCGGGGGUGAAAUCCUGGAGCUCAACUCCAGAACUGCCUUCGAUACUGGAAAGCUCGAGUCCGGGAGAGGUGAGUGGAACUGCGAGUGUAGAGGUGAAAUUCGUAGAUAUUCGCAAGAACACCAGUGGCGAAGGCGGCCAAC
rnacentral:rRNA from 1 species